rnacentral:rRNA from 1 species
AUUGAACGCUGGCGGAAUGCUAUACACAUGCAAGUCGAACGGCAGCAUAGGUGCUUGCACCUGGUGGCGAGUGGCGAACGGGUGAGUAAUACAUCGGAACGUGCCCAGUCGUGGGGGAUAACGUAGCGAAAGUUUCGCUAAUACCGCAUACGAUCUAAGGAUGAAAGCGGGGGACCGUAAGGCCUGGCGCGAUUGGAGCGGCCGAUGUCAGAUUAGGUAGUUGGUGGGGUAAAGGCCCACCAAGCCAACGAUCUGUAGCUGGUCUGAGAGGACGACCAGCCACACUGGGACUGAGACACGGCCCAGACUCCUACGGGAGGCAGCAGUGGGGAAUUUCGGACAAUGGGCGCAAGCCUGAUCCAGCCAUUCCGCGUGCAGGACGAAGGCCUUCGGGUUGUAAACUGCUUUUGUACGGAGCGAAAAGCCUUGGGUUAAUACCUCGAGGUCAUGACGGUACCGUAAGAAUAAGCACCGGCUAACUACGUGCCAGCAGCCGCCGUAA